AGUGAACGCUGGCGGUAGGCCUAACACAUGCAAGUCGAACGGCAGCACAGUAAGAGCUUGCUCUUACGGGUGGCGAGUGGCGGACGGGUGAGGAAUACAUCGGAAUCUACUUUUUCGUGGGGGAUAACGUAGGGAAACUUACGCUAAUACCGCAUACGACCUACGGGUGAAAGCAGGGGAUCUUCGGACCUUGCGCGAUUGAAUGAGCCGAUGUCGGAUUAGCUAGUUGGCGGGGUAAAGGCCCACCAAGGCGACGAUCCGUAGCUGGUCUGAGAGGAUGAUCAGCCACAAUGGAACUGAGACACGGUCCAGACUCCUAAGGGAGGCAGCAGUGGGGAAUAUUGGACAAUGGGCGCAGGCCUGAUCCAGCCAUACCGCGUGGGUGAAGAAGGCCUUCGGGUUGUAAAGCCCUUUUGUUGGGAAAGAAAAGCAGCAGGUUAAUACCCCGCUGUUCUGACGGUACCCAAAGAAUAAGCACCGGCUAACUUCGUG
rnacentral:rRNA from 1 species